UGGAAUUUGAGGUUACCAGAUUAUCUCUUGUUUUUAUUAGAUGACUUAUUUGUCAACGCAUUUUGUUUUUAUGAUUAUGCUUCGUAUAACUUUUUUGUUCAUGUUUUUAUUGACAAAGUCUUUGACCAAAACUAUCAGUCGAUGAAAUUAGCAAUGAAUAUAAAUGAGUUAUGAUGUCAAGUGGUGUGGAUUAGUUGAACUUGUCAUUUUACAAAAACUAAGUGUGGACUAAUGAGGGUCAAAAGUGGCUAAUACUGUGAGUAUGACUUAAAUCUUUUGUAAUUGUUUAGACUUAUAUUAAAUAUUUGCUCUUUUUGUUCCAGAUCUUAAUACUUGGUUGUUCCGCGAUCUGAUUGAGAUGGUGUGUGUUUGUGCCACCUCAUUAGGAAGAACCAUCUUGACAUUCACUGUGAUGGUAGAUAGAUAGAUAGACAGGUAGAUAGAUAGAUAGAUAGACAGAUAGAUAGAUCUUUAUGAAUCCCUUGGGAAUUCCCUUUGGGAAAUUUAGGAAUGGUUACAAACAUGAUGGUAACAUGUAACUUGAUUUGCUGUUUGAUUUUAGUACUUUUCUACUCAGCUACAUGUAUAGUGUUGUUUUUUACUUGUCCACAAUAUUUACUUCAGCUUUUAAACGUUUGUGUUUUCACAGUAUUGUCUACACACUGUAUCUUCCUAAUUGUAAACUGUUUACUGUUGAACAUUUUGUUCUUCACAGAUGUUUCUGAUCAGUGGAUGACUUAUCUUCUGGAACUACCUUCAAGAUAAAUUGCCAGGUCUGCCUUAGAAAAUACAAGGAGAGUAAGUAUUUCAUGGACUAGCUUUUGAACUAGCAGCCUUUAUUUUUUGCUUCAGGUCAACUGUGAACUCAGCUGCUCGAUCAAAACAUUUUCUCCUGUUUUUUUUUAAUUUUGCAUUUGAUUUUUUCCCCCCCAGAAUUCAAACCAUUUCUCAUUGCACGUGUGAAUGGGAUGUUUUCUGCAAACCUGUCAAUGCACCUGAACAUCUCGAAAUUGACUGCAAUAGCUGCAUUCAUUUUGGUGUUUAUGAGUCUUGCUGUAAGAUCGGAGACCUGUUCUGAUCUGCAGUAUUUAGUCGGCACUGUGUGCUGUAAAAAGUGUGACUUCGGGUUCUUUGUCAAAAAGGAUUGCAAAUCUCCUUCGCGGGACCCUGUUUGUUAUAAGUGUUACUCUGGAACCUUUAUGAAUGUCUCCAAUGGACUCAAAGAGUGCUUCAACUGUACAGAGUGUAAUCCAGAUUUGGGCCUGGAGAUAUCCUCUAACUGUGUUGGCAUCAGGGAUACAACAUGUAAACCUCUGGACGGAUUCUUCUGUACAAGUUGGCUGUCAGAUGAUCACUGUGAAGCUGCACAGAAACACACACAUGUGUGUCCACCAGGACAGUUCAUCAAAACGAAUGGAACAGCCUUGAAUGACACAGAAUGUGCAGCCUGUCCUGCUGGGAAAUCGGUGUCUCUACCUCACCCACAGUGUCAGUCUUCAGCUGAUGCUAAACAUGAACACUCCAGAUAUUCAAUUUGGAUUUUGCUUACUUUGUUCAUUGUAUUAAUUAUUAUUGGUAUUCUGGCAGUGUUCCCAAUACUGAAAGCUCAUGUGAACAAGAUAUUGCUGGAGGUACUGAACCUCACCCCUUUCAUAUGCACAUACAACCAACCCUGCGGUGAUGGCCAAGCGGGGGGCGUGUCAUCAGGAAUCAUAUGAGUCAGGUGUGUGUCUUGUGCUUGCCGUAUCCCUGAGACUGACUCACCGAACCCCUGGGGUUCGAUCGAAGGUUGAGAACCACUGAACACUAAACCAUACAUCAUGGCUGGUCUCACCACCGUCCUGUAAACCUUUCCCUUCACCUUAGCUGACACAGAUCACUCCUGACACUUUUCUCCAGCUGUUCCAUCCUGCCUGCACUCUAUUCUUCACCUCUCUUCCACAGUCUCCUCUGUUCUGAACGGCUGAUCCUUGUUACCUCACUAUUUCACUGUUCUCCAUGAAGGUGCCAUGUUCAGAUCAACACACUUGGCAGCUGGUAGACUAAAACCUAAAACCUGCUGAUUUGGUUCCUUAACCAGCGAGUCACUACUGUCCCUAUAGUUUUAUUUGUUAUCCAGUGUAAAACUUAGUUUAAUAUAAGCUCAAAAUCAUGGAGCACUGAUUCUAAUAGUUUGUUUCGUUCACUCUUCCAUAUUCCUGAACGCCUUGAACAAAGAACAGGAUUUAAUAUCUCAAAAGCAUUAAAAGUUCACUGUAGUGUUAAAUAUAAUUACCUUUUUUUUAGCUAAGAAAAUGUGAAUAUAUUUUUUUUUGAUGAGGGAAACUUGAGAAUAAUGCAUUUUGUCUUUUCUGUUGCACAAAUUGCACACAUUUAGAUAUGGCCCCCAAAAGUGUCUGUCCUUAGCUCAGGUCUUGGGGCUAAGCCCUGUUUCUCACUGUAUAAUGCCAAGAGUAUUUUUGAACUGUCCUAUUCACAAGCUGCCUGUUUUUCCUAUGCUUAUAUGUAAGAAAGAAAGAAAAGGAGAUAUGCUAAUAGUUAGUUUUCUGCCUAUUUGUUUGUUUUGUUUUUUAUGUACAAAUAUGUAUGUACAUGAAUGUCAUGAAUAAUAUAUUUAUACCAGGUGUGCAGUCUUACACUUUCUCACCAGUAUGAGCCAAGUUUUUAAUUUUAAAACAGCUGGAGACUGGAAUACUAAAGAACUGAGCACAAUGUUUGAAACGACAGUGCAGUGACCUACGCAACCCUGUGUUUAGAAAACUUCCAUGUAUUUACUUUGUCCUCAACGAACAAGUAAAAAUUAAAUAUGCACAUAAUGAGUUCCAAUCCUUUUCCUAAACACGUACGGUCCUUUUCUUUAGCACCAUCGUGUGGUCACAUCUAGUAACACAGGCCAAAACUGAACAGAAAUGCCAUUGUGCCAACCACUGCCACUGCUCCAUUGUGGGAAUAAAUGAAAAUGUAUUAUUUUGCUACUCUGCGUGUAUGUCCAGCAAUGAUAAUAGAAAUGUAUUGUUGAUAAUUUGAAAUGUAUUUGUAGCAUUAGCAUUUCAAUUGACAUGUUAGUAGUUCCACAGUGUAGCGGUUAGCACACCCGCCACAUGUCUGCCUUACCCACAGAGGGUCCUGGGUUAGAGCACCAGAGGAAUCACAUAUCCCUAAUGGCACCUCUUGUGGCAGCCUGUGGGGGCUGCAACGACUCACACUGUGAAUUUCCCCAUCAUUGGACUUGCUUACUAUACUAUACUAUACUAUACUGCUGCUACAAUGUUAGUUGUAGCAGCAGUAGUGAUAGCACUUGAGUACUACUAACACAUGGUACACAUCCAAAGUCAUACUUGCUCUCUGGAAGCUGCAGUAAUAUGUGAUGAAGGGCAGACGGACGUUUGCUUUUGCACGCUCUAAACCACUUAGCGUUUCAGCCUAUGCUCUUUCCUCUGAGUCACAACUUCCUUCCAGAAAAAACACAGAGCUAAAUUAUUCAUGCCAGUCUCUGACAAUCAACCAUUUUUGCAGCCUGUACACCAGAAAGUACUGCCUCACGUAAAGGCACACAUAUGACAGUGGUAAUGAUAUUUGUAGAUUUUCUGUAGUAGUACUUGUAGAAGUACAGUAGUUUCAGUGACCACAGUAGGUAGUAGCAAAAGCAUUAGUAAUGUUAGUACACGUAGAUGGAGGGAGGGAGGGAUGGAGGGAGGGAGGGAGGUAGCAGCUACGGAGUAGCUGUAGUAGCUGCAGUGCUAGUUAUUAUAGUGUUGUUAUUGUAAGUAGUUGUUUUUGCAUGAGAUACGUAAAAAUAGCAUAGCAUAACAACAAACUGUAUUAUGAUGUAGCAUAGAGCAAUAGAACUUGUAACUCAACGUUAACUUUAUGUUUCAGAAACUGUCUUUUCAAAAAUGUCGUUGUUCAUCAUCACUGUGCCUGAGAAUAUAUCAAAUACUGCAAUAUAUAAAAACACAAACACGUUGCCUUAAACAUCACACAUAGAUAGUUGAUUUAGUUGUAAAAAAAAAAAAACUAGUUUCAUCUGGAAUGACUAUGUUUGAGAUCAAUACACGAUCUCUUCAUCUUCAGUCAUUUUUUUCUAUCACGGGGAGAAGCUUUUUUUUUUGUUGGCUCUGCACAGGAAGUCCUUCAUGUUGCCAUGGCAGCAAAUAAAGGCCCAUUAAAUCAGUGAACACCUUCUGUCUUUGUGCUUUGAGUAUGAAAUGUAUUGAGGACGGAGGAGUGAUAUUGUUGUUGAUGCUCAUCUGUAGUGUCAUUUAAAAUGUAGAAAAUGUAUAAAUGCAGCUGUUUUGGCCAGAUCUAAACUGUGGAAAUAAAAAUACUGACGUCAGCUGCUGCUGUUUGCUUUAUCAAUAAGUAGCCAACACCGUUCCCCACCCAUUGUAAAUCCUGCUCUUGUGUUAUAUAUUCACCAGUGAAAUAGAGAGUAUAAAAUUGUCCGUCAACCAUCAGGUUCCGUCUAGAACAGUCGAGGUCACUAUGGUCACUGUGGUCACUUAGUUAAGGUUAAAGGUCACUAAGUAAUUGUGGAUUCUUAGACUUGCCCUGAAAAACAUCUAGAGACCUGUCCUGUGAUACUACAUGUACAGUACUAACUGUAUACACUGAAUACUCUGUGUACACUGAUAAGGCCUGCUGCUGUAGUCUCGUUUGAACUGGUACCAAAGUUCAGGUGUGUAAUAAACAAGAAAUACCAGAUAAAGACUGGGCGUGGCAGCGGGUCGAUAUGAAGAUUUACCUUAUGUUGAACCACAAACCCACUUGUCACUGAUCUGGUGUAAACGUAUUGAAGAUGUUCAUCCAUGGAGCUCGUGAUGACAUGCGGUGGUUUCAUAUUUGCUAACCCAGUUCUGUUCACAGAAAAAUGUCACAGAAGCAGGAAAUAACGGGAUUAUUUUUAGAAAUCAGACACAUUUGACUUCUUCUGUAAUUUUUUCUGUAAUGGUUACAUUUCUAGCAUGAAUGUUUUUGUUUUAUUAGCAAACAUUGAUUUUGUAUAGUAUUAAUGCGUUAAAAGGAUUUGGAGGAGAAAAGACUUAUUUCCGAAUCAUUACACAGAGUAACUAUUCAACACAGCUGUUCCCAACCUAUUACUGUACCAAGGACCAGUAGACCAGUAGGCCAGUAGACCAGUAGACCAAUCCCAGGAAGUACUGGAGACCAGUAGUAGCACCUGACUCUACUCCAUCUAUGAAGCUGACAGAUUGAUGGAUAUUUAAGGCUUGAUGACUUUUCAAAACACAAUCACAAAUCACAGUGCUGAUCCUGUUAACAUAGGAAAGACAUUAUUUUGGAAAACUGCUUUAACUUAAGUAAAUUAUUAAUUAUAUCGCUGCAGGCUGGUACCAAACCUGUCCGGGGACUGGGGUCCCUGUCAAUAUGUCAGAAACGAGUGCAGUCUUGUCUCCAGAGCUGUUAGCUUAAAUUUUUUGUAGCAUUUUUUUUUUAAAUCGUGGUGUAAUGUUUAAUCGUGGUGUAACCUAGGGAAGGUGGAGAUGGUAAUGAAUGUCCUGAGAUAGUUUUUUUAUAUAUUGGAUGAAGGUUAGAGAGUUGGAGAGUUGACAUGCAGGAAAAAAAGACGAUCUAUUAGAAAAUUCAUGAAAGUUCUAAAGAUAGAUUUUGAAAUGGUUGUUUAGUAGCACAGAUGAUCAGAGGUAGAUGUAAAUUUAAUAAAGACGCAGGUAAGACCAUGCUUUAUGUCGCAAAAUACGUUAGAGCUGAGUAUUAUAAUAUACUAUAAUAAUAGUAU